rnacentral:rRNA from 1 species
CCUACGGGGGGCAGCAGUGGGGAAUAUUGCACAAUGGGGGAAACCCUGAUGCAGCGACGCCGCGUGAGUGAAGAAGUACUUCGGUAUGUAAAGCUCUAUCAGCAGGGAAGAAAAUGACGGUACCUGAGUAAGAAGCCCCGGCUAACUACGUGCCAGCAGCCGCGGUAAUACGUAGGGGGCAAGCGUUAUCCGGAUUUACUGGGUGUAAAGGGAGCGCAGACGGUUGCGCAAGUCUGAAGUGAAAUCCCGAGGCUUAACCACGGGACUGCUUUGGAAACUGUGCGACUUGAGUAUCGGAGGGGCAGGCGGAAUUCCUAGUGUAGCGGUGAAAUGCGUAGAUAUUAGGAAGAACACCGGUGGCGAAGGCGGCCUGCUGGACGAAAACUGACGUUGAGGCUCGAAGGCGUGGGGAGCAAACAGGAUUAGAUACCCUGGUAGUC